rnacentral:rRNA from 1 species
CCUACGGGGUGCUGCAGUGGGGAAUAUUCGACAAUGGGCGAAAGCCUGAUCCAGCCAUGCCGCGUGUGUGAAGAAGGCCUUCGGGUUGUAAAGCACUUUCAGUGGGGAAGAAAGCCUUGGGGCUAAUACCCUCGAGGAAGGACAUCACCCACAGAAGAAGCACCGGCUAACUCCGUGCCAGCAGCCGCGGUAAUACGGAGGGUGCGAGCGUUAAUCGGAAUUACUGGGCGUAAAGCGCGCGUAGGCGGUCUGAUAAGCCGGUUGUGAAAGCCCCGGGCUCAACCUGGGAACGGCAUCCGGAACUGUCAGGCUAGAGUGCAGGAGAGGAAGGUAGAAUUCCCGGUGUAGCGGUGAAAUGCGUAGAGAUCGGGAGGAAUACCAGUGGCGAAGGCGGCCUUCUGGACUGACACUGACGCUGAGGUGCGAAAGCGUGGGUAGCAAACAGGAUUAGAUACCCCAGUAGUC